rnacentral:rRNA from 1 species
AUGAACGCUGGCGGCGUGCCUAACACAUGCAAGUGGAGCGACGAACCCGGACUUGUCCGGGGGCAAAGCCGCGAACGGGUGAGUAACACGUGGGUUAUCUGCCCCAAUGACCGGGACAACUCGAGGAAACUCGAGCUAAUACCGGAUGUGCUCUUCGGAGGAAAGGAAGCUUCGGCCUCCGCAUUGGGAUGAGCCCGCGGCGCAUUAGCUUGUUGGUGAGGUAAAAGCUCACCAAGGCGACGAUGCGUAGCUG